rnacentral:tRNA from 1 species
GCCACCGUAGCUCAGUUGGCAGAGCAGCGGUUUUGUAAACCGCAGGUCGUGGGUUCGAGUCCCACCGGUGGCU